UCGAGAAUCUUUCACAAUGGGGGAAACCCUGAUGGAGCGACGCCGCGUGGAGGAUAAGGUCUUCGGAUUGUAAACUCCUGUCAUGCGAGAACAAAGCCUCACGGCCUGAUAGUAUCGCAAGAGGAAGAGACGGCUAACUCUGUGCCAGCAGCCGCGGUAAUACAGAGGUCUCAAGCGUUGUUCGGAAUCACUGGGCGUAAAGGGUGCGUAGGCGGCAUGGAAAGUCAGAUGUGAAAUCCGGGGGCUCAACCCCCGAAUAGCAUCCGAUACUACCAUGCUUGAGGGUUGUAGGGGAGCUUGGAAUUCUCGGUGUAGCAGUGAAAUGCGUAGAUAUCGAGAAGAACGCUUGUGGCGAAGGCGAAGCUCUGGGCAACUUCUGACGCUGAUGCACGAAGGCUAGGGGAGCAAACG
rnacentral:rRNA from 1 species